rnacentral:rRNA from 1 species
UGGGGAAUUUUGGACAAUGGGCGAAAGCCUGAUCCAGCAAUGCCGCGUGUGCGAAGAAGGCCUUCGGGUUGUAACGCACUUUUGUCCGGAAAGAAAUCCGCCUGGCCAAUACCCGGGCGGGAUGACGGUACCGGAACAAUAAGCACCGGCUAACCACGUGCCAGCAGCCGCGGUACUACGUAGGGUGCGAGCGUUAAUCGGAAUUACUGGGCGUAAAGCGUGCGCAGGCGGCUUUGUAAGACAGAUGUGAAAUCCCCGGGCUCAACCUGGGAACUGCAGUUGUGACGGCAAUGCUAGAGUGCGUCAGAGGGAGGUGGAAUUCCGCGAGGAGCAGUGAAAUGCGUAGAGAAGCGGAGGAACACCGAUGGCGAAGGCAGCCUCCUGGGAUGACACAGACGCUCAUGCACGAAAGCGUGGGGAGCAAACA